CAACCACCUAUUAGAGGAGAGAAACAGAGCGGGAAAGAACUACGCUGUAGGAAGGAAAGAUGAACUUGAGUUUCACUUCUUAGUGCCUUUUCUCAGGGGAGAGGCCAUCACUUGAAGAUGCUGUCUCCUGCUCCUUCUCCGGGGACUAGGUAUGAGCCUUGACUUGUGAGGAGUCUGGGGUUAAUGUUAAUGCUGGGUGGAGAAGUGGAAAGACUUCCUCUCCGGAGAGUCUGAAGCCACCAGACAGAAGAUGAAGGGGAUAUGUUAGAUUAAAGGACCAUAACAGAGUAAUUGUCGGCACAAUAAAAAGGAGGCAGUGCCCUGGGGUCCUUUGGGAGCUGAGGUGGUACUGGAGAGAUAAAGCAGAGACUUUCCCGUCUGACCCCAAGCUUGUCGGCCCUCAUGAAUAUCUCUCUGGAACUAGGCUCUGUGUUCAGUGCUGUCAUCUCUCAAAAGCCAAGCAGGGAUAUCUGUCAACGUGGAACCUCCAUGACGAUCCAGUGUCAAGUCAAUAGCCAAGUCACCAUGAUGUUCUGGUACUGUCAGCAACCUGGACAGAGCGUGACACUGAUUGCAACUGCAAAUCAGGGCUCUGAGGCCACAUAUGAGAGCAGAUUUGUCAUUGACAAGUUUCCCAUCAGCUGCCCAAACCUAACAUUCUCAACUCUGACUGUGAGCAACAGGAGCCCUGAAGACAGCAGCAUAUACCUCUGCAGCGUUGAAGACACAGUGCGGGGCACAGAUCAAAGAUCUAAGCAAGAACCUCAGCUCCCUUCUACCCAGCUCCCCUCACAUGAACCUGAGGGCCCUGUCAAGGUGGGACAGAAGGAGGAAACCACAGCUCUUGGGUAGGCACAGCUGUUUCUGUGCUUGUAGGUGGGCAUGGGUAUGAAUGGAUAGACUGGGGAUGAGGAGAGCAUCUGUAGGACUAGCUGGAGUGUUCUAUCCACAGGCAGGAAGAGUGGCUUCUGGAAAGCUGAGGGUAAAAUUUCUUCUAGAAGGGUGCUCAGAAAUACCCAAUAAAAACAAUCAGAUACAGUUUCCUUCAAGUGGCAGGGUCAGUAAUAGCCUUUAACUGUUUUAUCUCAAGGCUCUGUUUAGCUGGUUUUCUAUCAUAAUAUAUUUUGGAAGAACUUCAGUCAUCUUGAAACAAAGCUGGUACAUUACAUUAAUGACAUCUGGUUGUUCUCCGUGAAUAGGAAUUAUAAAGCCCUCUAGAUGCCUCAAUAUGACAAUAUGACACAUGCAUCCCAGACCAAUAUAAAAUCUGCAAACUUCAGGAACCUUCUAUACUGGUGAGUUUUGGAGUGGUCCAGAGGUUUGGGGCAUGUUGAAAUAUCUCCUCUAAUGUGAGAAGUAAGCUACUGCACCUUAGAUCAUCUACCACGGAGAAAGAGAUGCAAUGCUUAGUCUUUGGACUUUGAAUUAAACUUUGGAUAUACUGCAUUUGACUGUGCUACUCUAUU